GUUCUUCCCGGGGAAUGCAACAGCUGAUUCACCUGCUCCACGCUGAUUAAUAAUCAAACUACCAUUGUGUGGGGCCUAUCUUCCUACUGGACCUCAAAACCCACCUACUCCACAAGUUUAUCUUCACAAUUAUGAGCUACCUGCUUCACGUCACACUACAGCACCUAAAAGCAAAUAAUAAAGUUUAUUCUUGAGUUAACCUGCCUCUGUGUUCAGCCAAUCCCUCCUGCACGUGAGUGAUGCACCUGGAUGCUGCAUAAGGAGAGAUGGAAAUACCUAAGGUGUGGUCCUUACUUCCAAGGGGCUUAUAGCAGAACGAAGACUCGAAAGCAAGCACACCCACAACCACAACACAGCCGCUGGCACACACAGCAGGAAAGACACCGGGUUUAAUGGAGCAGAGAAAGGGGGCGUCAUCUCCAGGCACAGCUCCAUGAAGAAGAUGACAUUGACCUGGGAGCUCUGAGCCUUCAUAUAAUGAGUAAGCUUUCAGCUGGAAGAAAUCCCAAGUGGAGAAACAGGAAGCUAUAAAAGAGCAAUGGUUUUGGAUUCACAAAACCUGCCUGAGUGAACCUGGUUGCCAUUCUAGCACAGAGAUCCUGUCUCAAAAAAAAAAAAAAAAGAGGCCUGAGAGAACGUGUUUAUGUCUUUUCCCAUGUGAAGACACAGCUAGAAAGCACCAUCCUUGAAACUGAGAGCAAGCCCUCAUCAGUCAGUGAAUCUGCUGAUGCCAUGUUCUUGGAAUUCCCAGCUUCCAGAACUGUGAGCAAUAAAUGUACAUAGAUUGCAAAUUA
rnacentral:lncRNA from 1 species